AGUAAAGUCAGCUAAUUAAGCUUUUGGGCCCAUACCCCAAAUAUGAUGGUUAAACCCCCUCCUCUACUA
rnacentral:tRNA from 1 species